rnacentral:misc_RNA from 1 species
GAUGAAGAACGUAUCAAAAUGCGAUACUUGGUGUGAAUUGCAGAAUCCCGUGAACCAUCGAGUCUUUGAACGCAAGUUGCGCCUCAAGCCAUUAGGUUGAGGGCACGUCUGCCUGGGCGUCACAUAUCGUUGCCUGAUGCCAGUUUCCUCGUGAUGGGUGACUGUGCAGGGCGAAUGAUGGCUUCCCGUGAGCAUUGUUGCCUCAUGGUUGGUUGAAAAUUGAGUCCUUGGUAGGGAGCGCCGUGAUAGAUGGUGGUUGAGUGACGAACGAGACCCAAUCAUGUGAGACCCCUACCGAAUUUGGCCUUCAUGACCCACAUGCGUCUUUGGAACGCUCAUGACGAGACCUCAGGUCAGGCGGGGCUACCCGCUGAGUUUAAGCAUAUCAAUAAGCGGAGGA